GAAUCUUGGGCAAUGGGCGAAAGCCUGACCCAGCGACGCCGCGUGAGGGAAGAAGGCCUUCGGGUCGUAAACCUCUUUUAUGGGGGAAGAAGUUCUGACGGUACCCCAUGAAUAAGCCACGGCUAACUACGUGCCAGCGGCCGCGGUAAUACGUAGGUGGCGAGCGUUGUCCGGAUUUACUGGGCGUAAAGGGCUUGUAGGCGGUCCGCUAAGUCUGGUGUGAAAUCUCCCGGCUCAACUGGGAGGGGUCAUCGGAUACUGGCGGACUUGAGGGGGGUAGAGGAAAGCAGAAUUCCUGGUGUAGCGGUGAAAUGCGUAGAUAUCAGGAGGAAUACCAGUGGCGAAGGCGGCUUUCUGGGCCUACCCUGACGCUGAGGAGCGAAAGCGUGGGGAGCAAACCGG
rnacentral:rRNA from 1 species